GACGAACGCUGGCGGCGUGCCUAAUACAUGCAAGUAGAACGCACAGUUUAUACCGUAGCUUGCUACACCAUAGGCUGUGAGUUGCGAACGGGUGAGUAACGCGUAGGUAACCUGCCUGGUAGCGGGGGAUAACUCUUGGACACGAUCGCUAAUACCGCAUAAUAUUGAUUAUUGCAUGAUAAUUGAUUGAAAGAUGCUAUUGCAUCGCUACCAGAUGGACCUGCGGUGUAUUAGCUAGUAGGGGAGGUAACCGCCUACCUAGGCGACGAUACAUAGGCGAACUGGGAGGGUGGUCCGGCACCCUGGGAACUGGACAACGCCCAGGCUCCCACGGGAGGCAGCAGGAGGGAAUUCUUCGGAAAGGGCGGAAGUCUGACCGAGCAACGGCGGGGGAGUGAAGAAGGGUUUCGGAUCGGUAAGCCCCGUUGUAAGGGAAGAACGAGAUGUGGAGUUGAAAGUGCACACUGUGACGGUACCUUACCAGAAAGCGACGGCUAACUACGUG
rnacentral:rRNA from 1 species